CCAAACUUGGUCAUUUAGAGGAAGUAAAAGUCGUAACAAGGUUUCCGUAGGUGAACCUGCGGAAGGAUCAUUACAAAUCGAUGGAGGAGAGGGGGGAGAGGUUGGGAUGGAGGAAGGGGGGAGUUGAUGAUCUGGGCUAGUCUGGAUCGAACUUCCCUACCAUACCGCUUGCUCUACACCGAAUCCACAUUUGCGCUUGUUGUGUUUGACAGAGUAAUAUACCCCAAUUAAAUGACAACUUUUAACAAUGGAUCUCUUGGCUCUUGCAUCGAUGAAGAACGCAGC
rnacentral:misc_RNA from 1 species